CGUGUAGGCGGGUUAUUAAGUCAGAUGUGAAAUUCCCAGGCUUAACUUGGGCGCUGCAUCUGAAACUGGUAAUCUUGAGUGCUGGAGAGGAAAGCGGAAUUCCUAGUGUAGCGGUGAAAUGCGUAGAUAUUAGGAGGAACACCAGUGGCGAAGGCGGCUUUCUGGACAGUAACUGACGCUGAGGCGCGAAAGCGUGGGGAGCAAACAGGAUUAGAUACCCUGGUAGUCCACGCUGUAAACGAUGGAUACUAGGUGUAGGAGGUAUCGACCCCUUCUGUGCCGGAGUUAACACAAUAAGUAUCCCACCUGGGGAGUACGGCCGCAAGGUUGAA
rnacentral:rRNA from 1 species